UCCUACGGGAGGCAGCAGUCGGGAAUUUUGCGCAAUGGACGAAAGUCUGACGCAGCAACGCCGCGUGAGGGAUGACGGCCUUCGGGUUGUAAACCUCUUUUGUCAGGGACGAUGAUGACGGUACCUGGCGAAUAAGCCACGGCUAACUACGUGCCAGCAGCCGCGGUAAUACGUAGGUGGCAAGCGUUGUCCGGAUUUACUGGGCGUAAAGAGCGCGC
rnacentral:rRNA from 1 species